UGCCGGGGCAAUGAAAACUCUGA
rnacentral:miRNA from 1 species